rnacentral:rRNA from 1 species
GAUGAACGCUGGCGGCGUGCCUAAUACAUGCAAGUCGAGCGAACAGACGAGGAGCUUGCUCCUCUGACGUUAGCGGCGGACGAGUGAGUAACACGUGGAUAACCUACCUAUAAGACUGGGAUAACUUCGGGAAACCGGAGCUAAUACCGGAUAAUAUAUUGAACCGCAUGGUUCAAUAGUGAAAGACGGUUUUGCUGUCACUUAUAGAUGGAUCCGAGCCGCAUUAGCUAGUUGGUAAGGUAACGGCUUACCAAGGCGACGAUGCGUAGCCGACCUGAGAGGGUGAUCGGCCACAAUGGAACUGAGACACGGUCCAGACUCCUACGGGAGGCAGCAGUAGGGAAUAUUCCGCAAUGGGCGAAAGCCUGACGGAGCAACGCCGCGUGAGUGAUGAAGGUCUUCGGAUCGUAAAACUCUGUUAUUAGGGAAGAACAAAUGUGUAAGUAACUCUGCACGUCUUGACGGUACCUAAUCAGAAAGCCACGGCUAACUACGUG